GACGAACGCUGGCGGCGUGCUUAACACAUGCAAGUCGAACGGAAAGGCCCUGCUUUUGUGGGGUGCUCGAGUGGCGAACGGGUGAGUAACACGUGAGUAACCUGCCCUUGACUUUGGGAUAACUUCAGGAAACUGGGGCUAAUACCGGAUAGGAGCUCCUGCUGCAUGGUGGGGGUUGGAAAGUUUCGGCGGUUGGGGAUGGACUCGCGGCUUAUCAGCUUGUUGGUGGGGUAGUGACUGACCAGGGGUUUGACGGCUAGCCGGCCUGGGAGGGGGACCGGCCACAUUGGGACUGAGAUACGGACCAGACGCCUACGGGAGGCAGUAGUGGGGAGCAUUGCGCAAUGGGCGGGAGCCAGAGGCAGCAACGCCGCGUGCGGGAUGACGGCCUUCGGGUUGUAAACCGCUUUCGCCUGUGACGAAGCGUGAGUGACGGUAAUGGGUAAAGAAGCACCGGCUAACUACGUG
rnacentral:rRNA from 1 species